UUGAGAUAUUUAGGUUUUAGUUUUGUAUAUAUAUAUAUAUAUAUAUAUAUUUAUAUGUGUUUUGUCUGAUGGAGUGAGCAGUAUUCUUCAUGUAAUAUAAUGAAUUAAAAGCAAAGGAAAAGAUAAGAUGAUAGAGAGAAUGAAAAGGUGGGCUGCCAAAAGUAAGAGAGAGAAGAUUGUGAUAAAGGUGGUGGUGGGACCCACGGGCAGAAAUUAGUGGCCAAUUUUUCUUUGAUUUUGACUGAGCACGUGGGCUGUGAUAUGUUUAGACUGAUAUUUGUGUUGGGUCGGUGCAUAUUGCCUAUAUUUAAGUUAUAUCUGUGUAAUGAUUUUGGUAAAAAAUUAGAGAAGAGUGGGAGUUUCGAGGAUAGAGACACAAAGCUGAAAGCUUGGAGAUUUGAUAUUUCAGUGAUUUAUUUUUUUUACAGUGGAUUUAGACUUUACCAUUUAAGACAAAGUUGAAGAGCUCGUCGUGGGCUUCGUAUUGAUCGGAGCAAUUUUCAGUUUGGAGCACUUGGGAUUUUGAAUUUCUUGGGCUGAAUUGGGACUUUUUUUCCUUCUAAUUGAGGUGUACAUCAGUUCCAGGCUUGAGUUUGUUCGUACUGAAUAGAGACGACCACUCAUUCUUCCGACGACGCACUUAUCCCGAAAAUAAGCUAACUCAGCCAAAUAAAAGAUUAAUUGAAGCAAUUCUGGAAUUAAACAAAGAAAGGAGCAAAGUGGAGAAAGAAGGAAGCAAAUGAAGCCAAAGGUGGCAAGCAGCAAAGUUCGAUUGAUCCAAGUUCAAGGUUCGAUCGAUCGAACAAUAAUCAAUCUCAGCACUUUAAGAUAGAUCCAAGCCUUGAUCCAAAAGCAUAAAGUCCAAAAGUUCGAUCGAUCCAACACCACCCUUCGAUCGAUCGAACACUUUUGUCCUUAUCCAAAUGAUUGAUACUAUCCACAGCUGUACCACCCACUAACAACUUUUGUCCUUUUCCCAAAAAUAUCUCUCAAAAUAUCUCGGAUUUGUCUUUUCCCAAAAAGCUUAACCAGUUGGAUCUAUCCAGCCUAAGUUCGAUGGGUCUCAGCCAGUUCGAUCGAUCCAAGUCCAAGAUUCGAUCGAUCGAACUUCCUCCAGUGCAAAAAAGUUAAAUUUCCAUCUCAUUGAAAGUUGUCCUUUAUCCAAUCAUUAGGGAAUAUUGUGUGCACGACCCCAGCUUAUUUUGGGUGUCAUUUUGACCUACCUAUAUAAGGAUAAAGAUUGCUUUUUACAAAAAAAAAGCCAAUAUUAUUUUCAUAUCAUCUCUUGGAGAGCAAGCUUAGAGGAGGAGGAGGCUAGAGACACCAUUGGAGUUCUUCAUCAACAAGGAGCAGAUUUCAACCAUGGAGUUAGCCCUUGAGGGACAUCCUCUUGGGGCUAGAGUUAGCCCCAAGCAUGUUUUCUUUAUCUUAAUCUUGUGUAUUAUUGAGGGAUUAGUGUUGUAAUUAAUAUUUUGACACUUUGAUAUAUAUAGCUCUUGUUUAUUCAAUGAUUUAUG